rnacentral:rRNA from 1 species
UACGUAGGUGGCAAGCGUUGUCCGGAUUUACUGGGCGUAAAGGGCGUGCAGGCGGUUUGUUAAGUCUAGGGUGAAAGCUCCCGGCUCAACUGGGAGAGGUCCUUGGAUACUGGCAGACUUGAGGAGGGUAGAGGAGAGUGGAAUUCCCGGUGUAGUGGUGAUAUGCGUAGAUAUCGGGAGGAACACCAGGGGCGAAGGCGGCUCUCUGGGCCCUACCUGACGCUGAGACGCGAAAGCGUGGGGAGCGAACCGG